rnacentral:lncRNA from 1 species
AGACAGACAGUAGUUCAGUCUCUACAUCAAGCAGUGCGCCAAGGAGUGUGGCGCUUGUAGCUGACAAAGAUACUGAUAGGUUUCAAAAGAUUGAAGAUGACAUUGGUAUGCUGGUCAGGAAUUUUGGUAAGAUGAAUUCUUCUGGUGGGAGGAAUCAGUAUGGUCGCCAGGGAGGUGAUCGUGACAAUGGCAGAAGGAGAG